rnacentral:rRNA from 1 species
GCGAAUUAUGUCAAGGAGUUAUCCGUCGAUUAAAAAGAGAGUGAUGUCCUGAUUACAAAACUCAUAUCAGACAUGGAGUGUUCAAAGCAGACAGUGCUAAUUAUCAACCUCAGUAUACUUUAGCAUGAAAAAAGGUAUAGGGCCUUUUCCACGUGGUUCCAUAUUGUUAAGACAGCACUAGGAUUAGGGUAACGUUUAAUAAAGAGAGUUGAGGGCAUUAAUAUUUAAUUGUCAGAGGUGAAAUUUUUGGACUUAUGAAAGAUUAAAUUUUGCGAAAGCAUCUGCCAAGGAUGUUUUCAUUAAUCAAGAACGAAAGUUAGGGGAUCGAAGACGAUCAGAUACCGUCGUAGUCUUAACCAUAAACGAUGCCGACCAGCGAUUAGGAGACGUUGAAUACAAAACACCACGCGUCGGUUGCGGUCGUCCUUGGCGUCUCGGUUCGGCCGGGCGCGGGACGUUAGCCCGCCCUGAGUUAA